AGUUCUAGAUAUGAAGACAAGAAAAAUAUUUGGUUUUCUUGAUUGUCUUCAUAUCUAGAACUGGGCA
ensembl:miRNA